rnacentral:rRNA from 1 species
UACGUAGGGUGCGAACGUUGUCCGGAAUUAUUGGGCGUAAAGAGCUUGUAGGCGGUCUGUCGCGUCUGCUGUGAAAGUCCGGGGCUCAACUCCGGAUCUGCGGUGGGUACGGGCAGACUAGAGUGAUGUAGGGGAGACUGGAAUUCCUGGUGUAGCGGUGAAAUGCGCAGAUAUCAGGAGGAACACCGAUGGCGAAGGCAGGUCUCUGGGCAUUAACUGACGCUGAGGAGCGAAAGCAUGGGGAGCGAACAGG